rnacentral:rRNA from 1 species
UACGUAGGUGGCAAGCGUUGUCCGGAUUUAUUGGGUUUAAAGGGUGCGUAGGCGGCUUUGUAAGUCAGUGGUGAAAUAUGGCAGCUCAACUGUCAGGGUGCCAUUGAUACUGCGGAGCUUGAGUACAGAUGAGGUAGGCGGAAUUGACGGUGUAGCGGUGAAAUGCUUAGAUAUCGUCAAGAACACCGAUAGCGAAGGCAGCUUACUAAGCAGACAUUGACGCUGAGGCACGAAAGCGUGGGGAUCAAACAGG